GCUGCUUUAUACUACCAUCUCAGCCACAGUUAAGAUUUCAGGAGUAUUUACUGUGUGGCUGGCCCUGAACUAACUGUUGGCAAUGUCACAGCUCACUUCAUCCUACAAUCAUCUCCAGAGGACAGCAUCACUAUUAACUUUAAAGAUGGGGAAACUGACCACAGAGAGGUUAUGCGAUUUGCUCCCUAAACUGCACAGCUACUAAGCAGCAAAGCGUGUCAACCCCAAAGCUUAGCCUGAGCAAGGCAUACGAUCAGAGUCGGCAAGAUUAUCAAAGCUACUGCACAUGCUGAGGGCACACGGUGGCUUUAGGAGAGAAAAACUCCAGAGGCCCAAGCUGGAGCUCUUUCACAACACAAAUUGAGGUGUGGACUCAUUCCUACCCAAUGUUGCUGCCCAAGCUCUGAAUUCCUGAACUUCGCUACCCUGUGUUCCACUUCAAAACUCCACUCAUGGGAACCACGUACAACUUCACAUAAACUCAGAGAAGGCAAAUUGACUUAUCUGUAACGUCUCAGAGAGCUUCCAUGGGAAACAAAAUUAUAUGUCUUAAUCAUUACUCACAACACAUUCCCCAUCAGUGCU